rnacentral:misc_RNA from 1 species
GUUAAAUAAUUACACUUUUAUAAAAUUAAAGUGACAAAUAUGUUGCAACUAUAAGUUGGGAGUUAAAUAUUUAUAUUUUUAUAAAGUUUAAGGAUAAAAUAAAUCACAAUUAAAACUGACGAUUUUAAGUGACUUUUAAGUAAAAGUCAAGGGUCAAAUGACACAUUUGGCCAUUCUCAGUAAUUCAUUGAUAUUUUCGAAAUCAUUACAUAUCAAUAUAUAUAAUUCUAUUAAAACGUGAUAUUGAUUAUCAAUCCAACCACUAUCAAAUAAUAUUAUUCUAUGAUAAUAUUCAAUUUGAAUUAUAUCACUUAUAUUAUUCAUACAUUAUAAAUAAGACUUUAGUCAGGUAUAUAUGAAUCCACUUAUGUUAUAUAUCACUCAUACGUUAUAAAUAAGUUGAAAGCAUCUUUUGACUCAUGACUUUUAUUUGAAAAGUCAUUUGAGACCUCUAUUAAAGUGUAACUAUUUAACCUCUCAUCUUUGCAAAAAAAGUCACUUGACAAUUUUAUCUUGCAUUCCAUUUAAUACCUGAACUUUAUAAAAGUAUAACUAUUA